UUCUCCUUGAUUUAUUUUUUCUCUUUUAUUUUGGUUUUUAAUUGUUUUCUUUAUAAAUAGGCUAGGGUGAUAGACUAGUCUAAAUCUUUUCUAAAGAUUUUGUAGUUUUUGGUUAUCAUGAUAGACUAACCAUAGUUUGUUUUCCAAAGCUAUUUUUAAUACAAGUUCUAUUUACAUUUUUAUUCAAAACUCUUUUUCUUUCUUUUCAUGCACACCAUUUUUUUUUCUCUAUUCAAUUAUACUCUUUUCUAGCCAUUUACAAUUCAUUCUUGCUUUCUUUUGUUUUCUAUUAUAUU
rnacentral:lncRNA from 1 species